GUAGGGGGCUAGCGUUGUCCGGAUUUACUGGGCGUAAAGGGAGCGCAGGUGGCUAAGUUCGUCGAUGGUGCAAGCUCCAGGCUUAACCUGGAGAGGUCUGUCGAUACUGCUUGGCUUGAGGACGGUAGAGGAGCACGGAAUUCCUGGUGUAGUGGUGAAAUGCGUAGAUAUCAGGAGGAACACCGGUGGCGAAAGCGGUGCUCUGGGCCGUUCCUGACACUCAGGCUCGAAAGCGUGGGGAGCGAACCGGGAUUAGAUACCCGGGUAGUCCACGCCCUAAACGAUGAAUGCUGGAUAUAGGGGGGUAUCGACCCCCCCCCCCCGUGUGUCGAAGCUUACGCGUUAAGCAUUCCGCCUGGGAACUACGGCCGCAAGGCUA
rnacentral:rRNA from 1 species